rnacentral:rRNA from 1 species
UACGUAGGGGGCAAGCGUUGUCCGGAAUCAUUGGGCGUAAAGAGCGUGUAGGCGGCCCGGUAAGUCCGCUGUGAAAGUCCAGGGCUCAACCCUGGAAUGCCGGUGGAAACUGUCCGGGCUAGAGUCCGGAAGAGGCGAGUGGAAUUCCUGGUGUAGCGGUGAAAUGCGCAGAUAUCAGGAGGAACACCAAUGGCGAAGGCAGCUCGCUGGGACGGUACUGACGCUGAGACGCGAAAGCGUGGGGAGCGAACAGG